rnacentral:rRNA from 1 species
UCGUGAAUUCAUCUCCGGGGGUAGAGCACUGUUUCGGCAAGGGGGUCAUCCCGACUUACCAACCCGAUGCAAACUGCGAAUACCGGAGAAUGUUAUCACGGGAGACACACGGCGGGUGCUAACGUCCGUCGUGAAGAGGGAAACAACCCAGACCGCCAGCUAAGGUCCCAAAGUCAUGGUUAAGUGGGAAACGAUGUGGGAAGGCCCAGACAGCCAGGAUGUUGGCUUAGAAGCAGCCAUCAUUUAAAGAAAGCGUAAUAGCUCACUGGUCGAGUCGGCCUGCGCGGAAGAUGUAACGGGGCUAAACCAUGCACCGAAGCUGCGGCAGCGACGCUUAUGCGUUGUUGGGUAGGGGAGCGUUCUGUAAGCCUGUGAAGGUGUGCUGUGAGGCAUGCUGGAGGUAUCAGAAGUGCGAAUGCUGACAUAAGUAACGAUAAAGCGGGUGAAAAGCCCGCUCGCCGGAAGACCAAGGGUUCCUGUCCAACGUUAAUCGGGGCAGGGUGAGUCGACCCCUAAGGCGAGGCCGAAAGGCGUAGUCGAUGGGAAACAGGUUAAUAUUCCUGUACUUGGUGUUACUGCGAAGGGGGGACGGAGAAGGCUAUGUUGGCCGGGCGACGGUUGUCCCGGUUUAAGCGUGUAGGCUGGUUUUCCAGGCAAAUCCGGAAAAUCAAGGCUGAGGCGUGAUGACGAGGCACUACGGUGCUGAAGCAACAAAUGCCCUGCUUCCAGGAAAAGCCUCUAAGCAUCAGGUAACAUCAAAUCGUACCCCAAACCGACACAGGUGGUCAGGUAGAGAAUACCAAGGCGCUUGAGAGAACUCGGGUGAAGGAACUAGGCAAAAUGGUGCCGUAACUUCGGGAGAAGGCACGCUGAUAUGUAGGUGAAGUCCCUCGCGGAUGGAGCUGAAAUCAGUCGAAGAUACCAGCUGGCUGCAACUGUUUAUUAAAAACACAGCACUGUGCAAACACGAAAGUGGACGUAUACGGUGUGACGCCUGCCCGGUGCCGGAAGGUUAAUUGAUGGGGUCAGCGCAAGCGAAGCUCUUGAUCGAAGCCCCGGUAAACGGCGGCCGUAACUAUAACGGUCCUAAGGUAGCGAAAUUCCUUGUCGGGUAAGUUCCGACCUGCACGAAUGGCGUAAUGAUGGCCAGGCUGUCUCCACCCGAGACUCAGUGAAAUUGAACUCGCUGUGAAGAUGCAGUGUACCCGCGGCAAGACGGAAAGACCCCGUGAACCUUUACUAUAGCUUGACACUGAACAUUGAGCCUUGAUGUGUAGGAUAGGUGGGAGGCUUAGAAGUGUGGACGCCAGUCUGCAUGGAGCCGACCUUGAAAUACCACCCUUUAAUGUUUGAUGUUCUAACG